rnacentral:rRNA from 1 species
ACUCCAGACUCCUACGGGAGGCAGCAGUGAGGAAUAUUGGUCAAUGGGAGAGAUCCUGAACCAGCCAAGCCGCGUGAGGGAAGACGGCCCUAUGGGUUGUAAACCUCUUUUGUCGGAGAACAAAACCCGGGACGUGUCCCGGACUGCGUGUAUCCGAAGAAAAAGCAUCGGCUAACUCCGUGCCAGCAGCCGCGGUAAUACGGAGGAUGCGAGCGUUAUCCGGAUUUAUUGGGUUUAAAGGGUGCGUAGGGGGUCCGUUAAGUCAGCGGUAAAAUGGCGGGGCUCACCCCCGUCGAGCCGUUGAAACUGGCAGACUUGAGUUGGCGAGAAGUACGCGGAAUGCGCGGUGUAGCGGUGAAAUGCGUAGAUAUUAGGAGGAACACCAGUGGCGAAGGCGGCCUGCUGGACGACAACUGACGCUGAGGCGCGAAAGCGUGGGGAGCAAACAGGAUUAGAUACCCUAGUAGUG